rnacentral:tRNA from 1 species
GAGGAAUGGCUGAGCGGUUGAAAGCGGCGGUCUUGAAAACCGUUGUACCGAGAGGUACCGUGGGUUCGAAUCCUACUUCCUCC